GGAUUAUGCGGUUUAAUUUGAUGAUACCCGAAGAACCUUACCAGGGUUUGACAUGUCUAGAAUCAAUCAGAAAUGAUUGAGUGCCUUUGUCCUUUACAUUUAUGUAACCGGGACUUUUGAACUAGAACACAGGUGGUGCAUGGCUGUCGUCAGCUCGUGCGUUGACGUGUACGGUUAAGUCCUGCAACGAGCGCAACCCUCGUCUUUAGUUACCUUACCCUCUAAAGAGACUGCGCGCGCAAGCGCUGAGGAAGGUGAGGAUGACGUCAAGUCAGCAUGCCCCUUACACCCUGGGCGACACGCGUAAUACAAUGGUUGGGACAAUCAGAAGCUAACCCGCGAGGGUACGCAAAUCUGUUAAACUCAACCACAGUUCGGAUUGUAGGCUGCAACUCGCCUGCAUGAAGUAGGAAUUGCUAGUAAUCGCCGGUCAGCCAAACGGCGGUGAAUACGUUCCCGGGUCUUGUCCACACCGCCCGUCACAUCAAGAGAGUAUACAAAGGUCCAAGUCAUUAGUUUAACCCUUUUUUGGGAAAACGGUGCCCAAGCUUCGGUAAACAAUCAUGAUGAAGUCGUAACAAGGUAGGGCUUCUGGAAGGAGGCCCUGGAUCACCUCCUUA
rnacentral:rRNA from 1 species